GGUGUGUGGGUGUGACGGCGGUGCGCGAAAAGGCGAUCGAAAGCACGUUAUGACGUCGCGCGUGCCGAUUCUUGUGAUUUUGGGAGCAACGGGAACCGGGAAAUCGAAACUGGCCAUUCAACUCGCCCAGAAGUACUGCGGCGAAAUUAUUUCCGCUGACAGCAUGCAGGUCUACAAAGGGUUGGACGUGAUUACAGCGAAGGUAACCAAAGAGGAGCAAGCCAUGGCUCCGCACCAUAUGCUCGACGUCGUGGAUCCCUUGUCGACGUUCUCGGUCGUUGAUUUCAGGAACAGAGCAUUGCCUGUUAUAGACAAGCUCCUGAGUGUCGGAAAGGUGCCAAUAAUCGUCGGCGGGACGAAUUAUUACAUAGAAUCUCUGCUGUGGCAGGUGCUCAUCGAGGAUCCAAAGGAUACGGCGAUCGACGAGCCGUGUUCUUCCUUAGUUUUCGACCGCGACGAUGGUUUCGUGAAUAUGCGAGGUAGUGAUGUUGUUAAAUCGGAUCGUGCGACGAGUGUUGUCGUGGUUGACGAUGAAAAUCGUAGUGCAGUGGGUGAAAAUCGGGUGAGUGAUGUGUGCGAAAGUGAAACACAGGAAUACGAAAGUGCCGAUAUCGACGCCCCGGCUUCGAAGAAGAUCAAAUUCGACGACGCAAUCAGCACCGACGAGCUGCACCGGAAGCUCAGAGAAGUUGACGCAACAAUGGCUGACAGAUUGCAUCCGAAUGACCGGCGAAAAAUUAUAAGAUCGCUGCAGGUCUUCGAUCAGUUUGGUACGAAACAUUCCGAAAUUUUAAGGGAGCAGCAACUUGCCGGGGGUUCCGGCCUCGGAGGUCCGCUUCGCUAUCACAACUCCGUCAUACUGUGGUUGCAAUGCGACCAGAACAAUACCAAUCAAUGCAGAAAUUAUUUGGGAUUGAGGCAAAGCUUAUACGCGGUGUUGGACAAAAGACUCGACCACAGAGUAGAUUCGAUGCUGAAGGCAGGAUUAGUCGAGGAACUGCUGGAUUUUCACCGCAGAUACAACGAGGGAAGGAUUAAGGAAAAUGCACUACCCGAUUACACGAAAGGGAUCUUUCAGAGCAUCGGUUUCAAGGAGUUUCACGACUACUUGAUCCUACCCGAGGAUCAGAGAAGCUCCGAUAUGGGUGGAAAACUGCUGAAACUAGGUAUCGAGAAUUUAAAACUACGCACAAGGCGAUACGCUAGGAGGCAGCAGCGAUGGGUGACGAAUCGAUUCAUACGCCGAUUCGACAGGCAGGUGCCCCCGGUUUAUCCCUUGGACUGCACAGACGUAGCUCAGUGGGAUCAGAAAGUUCUGGGACCUGCGAUGUCCAUAAUAACCGACAGGCUUGAGGGUCAAACGCCCAGCCAUAAAUCCCUGAACAACAAUAAGACUGAAAACUUCGCGAUACCUGACAGCAACACCGAGCGAACUCGCUAUUGCGAAGUAAUUUUCACCUUACGGUUUUCAUUUGAUCAUAAAAAGAGAGAAAUUUUGGCCGUCACUUCUUCCGUCAGAUAAAAUUCAGACGUGCGAGAGGGUCUUCGUCGGCGACUUUCAAUGGAAGGCGCACAUGGAAGGCAAGAAGCAUCAGAGAGUGGCGAAACGAAAGAAGAUAAACCAAUUGAUGCAGGAUCCAAAGUAGCCGAAAGGAAUCGUACGUGAU
rnacentral:misc_RNA from 1 species